GGUCAUGAGUGCCAGUGACAAGCCCCGGCUCGCUGGUCGGCAACCCUCCUCCACGGUGGGGUGCUCCGGGUGACGACCCGGCCGUGUCCGCCCGGACACGGCAAGCGUGGAUC
rnacentral:ncRNA from 2 species